rnacentral:lncRNA from 1 species
GGGCGGAGCCCAGGCUGCAAGUGGGGAUCCAGGAAAGUGGGGUAGCGGCCUCGGGCUCGCAUGUGGAGGGAGCGUGCGGACGCUCCCCAAAGCCGAAGAAAGCUGCAAGGCACUGGACACAGGAAUGCUGGAUCCAAGCCACAUCUGAUCUAUACCACAGCUUUUGGCAACUCCAGAUCCUUAACCCACUGAGCAAGACCAGGGAUCAAACCCGAGUCGCUGUGGAUACUAGUCAGGUUCCUUAACCACUGAGUCAUGAACUACUAUAAAAUGAUUUUUAUGAAGAGCCUGAAAUACAUGGGAAAUGAGAUGAUAAACUGCCAAAGCAGCAAAGACAUGUUCAGAGACCUGGAGGAUAGAAUCGGAAGAGCUUAUGUACAUCUAGAAGAGUUUCUGGAGGGGAGAAAAUAGAGUAUGAAGGAGGAGCAGUCUCCAUAGAGAUGAUGUGUGAGAAUUUGUCAGACUUGAAGAAAAACAAGUUAUCAGAUCAAAGAAAGAUGCUACGUCUCAAGCAGAAUAAACUUUCAAAAAAGUUUUUGGCCGUAUCCACAUCAUGUGGAAGUUCCCAGGCCAGGGAUCAAACCCUCAUCACAGCAGUGACAACACUAGAUCAUUAACCCACUGAGUCACCAGGGAAUUCCCCCAAGCAGCAUACUUUUUUUUUAAGUUGAGACCUGUACAUAGUAGUGAAGUUAGAAGAUAGCAAACACAGUAAGAAAAUGUUAAAAAGUUACCACUGAGAAAAGUCAAAGCAUCUUAAAAGGAAAGAGAGUCAUCCUGUCGGCAGAAUUAUCAAUAGCAAUAACAACAGACUACUGAAGACAUUGGAAAAUUGGCAACUAUCUUGGUUACUCUAAAUCAGUUGUAUUUUUUUUAAGUGCCAAUAUUUUGGAAUUUUAAAACCAAGUGAAAUUAAAAUAUUAGCCCUUAAAAAUGUGGUAGAUGAUGGUAGAAGGAUUAAAGACAAUUCUUUUUAUUCCAAAGUGAAAUCUUCCAAAAUUUUAGACUUUGACAAGCUAUUACAUUGGUUAAAAUUCUUUGUUGCAAACAACAUGGGAGAGCUGGUUGUGGGGGGGGAAGCUUGGGCUGAGCUUCUAGAAAAAGUGCUCUAAACCAUAUAACAGAACUGGCAUGGUAAAGAAACUGCUGCUGCUCCUAUCAAGUACCAAAUGCCAAGAGCUCAACUUUACUUCAUCUGCUCCUGCCAUCAGCAUCAAUGCCAGUUCUGUGUCAGAAACUUGAUCUUGCAGCCACUAGGUGUUGGCCUCUACCUGUACCUGGACAGUGAAAGGCACAUGCAGGGCUUGUAUCCUCACAUCCACACAUUUCCACUGCUGCUUCUGGUUUGCAGAGCCAGUGUCAUAGGUCUGCAUCCUAGCUGCAAGGGAAGCAGAGAAUUUGAGUUCUCGAUUUUAUCAGAGAAGUGGGAGCUGCAACUAGGGAAUUAUACCAAACAUAUGAAGGCUACUUAAAAGAUUAUGACAGCUUUGAAGAUGACAGAGUCUAAUAGUGAUAUACAUAUUGAGUGAAGGAGUAUAUUCACCAAAAUAAGAGAAAUAACUUGUGUAACUCCCAAACCUAUAGAGAGAGAAUAAAAAUGACCUAGAGAAGUUAGUCACCAGAUUAGCAGGCAAGGAAGAAGAAAAAGAAAAGCAAACUAAAAGUAUGAUAAAUAGGAAACUCAAGUAAGAUUGUAGAAAGAAGUCCAAAUAUUAUUUUUUUCCUUUUAGGACCACACCCGCAGCAUAUGGACAGGGGUCAAACGAGCUGCAUUGCCCAGCCUGCAGCAUACCACAGCAAUGCCAGAUUUGAGCUGCAUCUGCAACCUAUGUGGCAGUUUGUGGCAACCCUGGAUCCUUAACCCACUGAGCAAGGCCAGGGAUUGAACCCACAUCAUCAUGGAUACUAGUUGGGUUCUUAACCCACUGAGUCACAGUGGGAAUUCCCAAAUAUUAUUAAUUGCAAUAAAUAUACAUAGUUUAGGUUUAAUUUAGCAAAUUAAAGUAUGAUAAAUAGGCAACUCAAAUAAGAUUAUAAAAAGAAUAUUGGGGAAAUAACUAUUAAAAAAUAAAUAAAUAAAUAAUUUUUUAAAAAAGAUUAUAGAAAGGGUCCAAGUGUGUGUGUGCGUGUGUGUGUGUGUAUAUAUACACAUUUUUUUUUUUUUAGGGCCACACCUGUAGCAUAUGGAGUUUCCCGGGCUAGGAGUCAAAUCAGAGCUGCAGCUACCAGUCUGCAGCACAGCCACGGCAAUACAGAAUCUGAGCCUCACUACAGCUCAAGGCAAUGCCAGAUCCUUAACACGCUGAGCAAGGCGAGGGAUUGAACCCACAUCCUUGUGGAUACUAGUUGGGUUCAUUACCUCUGAGCCACAACAGGAACGCCCCAAGUAUAUUAUUAAUCACAAUAAGUAUACACGGUUUAAGCCAACAACAAAAAUAUUCAGGCUGGAUUAAAAAAAACUAUAUCCCUUGUUUACAACUUACAUAGUUUAAGAACAUAUUACCAAGGAGUUUGAAAAAUGGUGAUUAAAUAAAACUAUAUACCAGGAAAAUACUAAUCAAGAAUUGUUGAUGUUAUUAACAUUAAUACCAAACAUAAGAAUUUAAGGCCAAAAGGAUUGAUAGAGGUGAUUUGUAGGGAUCAAAAGGAACUAUCUACCAUGAAGACAUAUAGUCAUAAAAGAUUCAUGAACUUGUGUGCACUUAACCACAUAAAGCAAAAUUUAAUGGGACAAUGUAGAAAAUUUGCAAAUGCACCAUCAAAAAUGAAUAGACAAGCAGACAAAGAAUAUCAUAAAAUCAAUACGCUUGAUACCACAUGAGAUUUACAUAGGUAUACACACACAGACAACAGUGAAAAAUAGUUCAUGGCACUUCUCCAAGACACUAAGUUCAGCCAUUUUACAGGUGAAUAUUACCAAGCAUACAGGAGAAAAUUCCCUUCCUUUGUUUUAUUUCACAAAAUAAAAAUUAAAAACCAGGUAUAACCAACUCAACUCAUUAUAACAUGCUGCUCAGACCUUGUCUUUCAGACCAACCCUUGGAGCUAUCCAGUUCUUUGACAAGGGCAGUUCUUUCAACAACGUGGCCAUUCAGAACCACUUCAUUGAGUCAGAAGCUCUUCUGAGGGGGUCAUUGCUUAACUGCUUCAGUUAUCUCUCUGCUGGUCACUGCUCUUCUGUGGUUGAAAUACACAGAGAAGGCAUAUUAUAGAAUACCUGAGAUGAAAAUAUACAAUUGUAUGCAUAGUAUAAUAUAAACUCUUAAAAAGCAAGCAAGCAAAUAUCUGACUAGAAGAAAAAAUUUUAACUCUGGAAGAAAAACAUACUGUAACAUUAAAUAAAGUUAUGUUUGAAUAAU